CCAUCAAAAAUGGCAGAAAAUUGAAAAAGUGGAAUACAGCGCAAAGACCACUUUUUUCCCCGACCAAAGGCAAGAGGUAACUCUGGCCCUUUGACCAACCCGACCAGUCUCUCCCACAUGCAACUCACAUGUCCAUCGAGCAACUCGAAUCUCAUCACUUUCCCUCUUUCUCCAAACCUAAACCCCUCGCUCACUUCUGCAAUUCAUCACCUACCACUCAUCGUCAAUUGAGGAUGAGAUUCGGUAAAGGGCUCAGAGAGCAGAAGAGGCUGAAGCCGUUGUCCGAUCCAGUUCGUUCCCUAGUAGCGACGUUGCCGUCUCCAAUCUCGAAGACGACGGGAAGAGACUAGCAGGUGGCCCCUAGAGUCCACAACGGUGGUGGCUUCAAUCCGGAGACAGAGGCUUCAGCUUUAUUCCAUUAUGUUCGUCUUUUUAUUCUCAACUCUUUGAGUACUCUAUUGGUUGAUAAUCGUUUCGAUACGAUAUGAUAUCGAUCACGAGAGUAUUGAUUGAUCAAGUUGAUUGUGAUCGAUUACAAAAACAUUUGUAACCAAGUAGAUGCGUCUUUCUACAUCCUCAGCCUUGUGUGGUGAUUUGAUUUUCAACAAUUUGUGACUCUGUAAUUUUCAUGAUGGUCUUGUAUAUGGUGGAAGAGGGGACGCUGCAAGCUAGUACUGUUGCUGAUCAUAUUUAGGUCAAGAUAUACAUAUGCUCCAAGGUUGUUUGGCUCUAUACUUAUGUGAGAAGACCGAGAAUACAUCUGCUCUUAUUGUUUGUUAGAAUUGUGAGGAGUAAGGAAGGUCUCACUCAUUUAGUUAGGAGCUGCAAAUCUGUUGAGAUUGAAAUGCUUUCUGAUUUGUUUUGUCAGGAGCUUUCUUUUUUUCUUUAGUUUGGACUACUACUUGUAAAUGUUCAAAUUGUUGAUAAUCAAAUUAUGUUCUUGA